rnacentral:rRNA from 1 species
GACGAACGCUGGCGGCGUGCCUAAUACAUGCAAGUAGAACGCUGAAGGCGGAGCUUUCUCUUCUGGUUGAGUUGCGAACGGGUGAGUAACGCGUAGGUAACCUGCCUGGUAGCGGGGGAUAACUAUUGGAAACGAUAGCUAAUACCGCAUAAUAGUAGCUGUUGCAUGAUAUUUACUUAAAAGGUGCAAUUGUACCACUACCAGAUGGAGCUGCGUUGUAUUAGCUAGUUGGUGGGGUAACGGAUCACCAAGGCGACGAUACAUACCCGACCUGAGAGGGUGGUCGGCCAGACUGGGACUGAGACACGGCACAGAGUCCUACGGGAAGCAGCAGUAGGGAAUCGUCGGCAAGGGGCGAAAGUCUGACCGAGAAACGCCGCAGGAGUGAGGAAGGUUGUCGGAUCGGAAAGGUCGGUUGUAAGAGAAGAACGAGUGUGAGAGUGGAAAGUACACACAGUGACGGUAUCGUACCAGGAAGGAACGGCUAACUACGUG